CGGUCCUAUGGAUUGUAAACUGCUUUUAUACGAGAAGAAACACUGCUUCGUGAAGCAGCUUGACGGUAUCGUAAGAAUAAGGAUCGGCUAACUCCGUGCCAGCAGCCGCGGUAAUACGGAGGAUCCAAGCGUUAUCCGGAAUCAUUGGGUUUAAAGGGUCCGUAGGCGGUUUAAUAAGUCAGUGGUGAAAGCCCAUCGCUCAACGGUGGAACGGCCAUUGAUACUGUUAAACUUGAAUUAUUAGGAAGUAACUAGAAUAUGUAGUGUAGCGGUGAAAUGCUUAGAGAUUACAUGGAAUACCAAUUGCGAAGGCAGGUUACUACUAAUGGAUUGACGCUGAUGGACGAAAGCGUGGGUAGCGAACAGGAUUAGAUACCCUGGUAGUCCACGCCGUAAACGAUGGAUACUAGCUGUUGGAAGCAA
rnacentral:rRNA from 1 species